UUCGNGACNNNGAGCUAAUCUUAGAAAGUCGUUCGUAGUCCGGAUUGGAGUCUGCAACUCGACUCCAUGAAGUCGGAAUCGCUAGUAAUCGCGAAUCAGCAUGUCGCGGUGAAUACGUUCCCGGG
rnacentral:rRNA from 1 species